rnacentral:rRNA from 1 species
AGUGAACGCUGGCGGUAGGCCUAACACAUGCAAGUCGAACGGCAGCACAGUAAGAGUUUGCUCUUACGGGUGGCGAGUCGCGGACGGGUGAGGAAUACAUCGGACUCUACUUUUUCGUGGGGGAUAACGUAGGGGAACUUACGCUAAUACAGCAUACGACCUACGGGUGAAAGCAGGGGAUCUUCGGACCUUGCGCGAUUGAAUGAGCCGAUGUCGGAUUAGCUAGUUGGUGGGGUAAAGGCCCACCAAGGCGACGAUACGUAGCUGGUCUGAGAGGAGGAUCAGCCACACGGGAACUGAGACACGGUCCAGACGCCUACGGGAGGCAGCAGUGGGGAAUAUUGGACAAUGGGCGCAAGCCUGAUCCAGCCAUACCGCGUGUGUGGAGAAGGCCUUCGGGUUGUAAAGCCCUUUUGUUGGGAAAGAAAAGCAGCAGGUUAAUACCCCGCUGUUCUGACGGUACCCAAAGAAUAAGCACCGGCUAACUUCGUG